rnacentral:lncRNA from 1 species
AAUCCAAAUAUUUCAUCAUGAUUUCUUCUCCUUCAAAAAAAAAAAGAAGAAGAAGAAAAACGUAUGAAAAUUAGAUAAAAGGGAAGAUAUGGAUGAAAUUGGAACGGUUUUAUCGGUUUGAUGUUCGAAUAAGUGUGAUUCACUCACAAAUUCGAACCAUAUCGUUAUAAGUCUAUUACCACCGUUACGUCAUAGAAAAAUAAAUACAUUACUGAUUACUCCGAUCAAUAGAAGUUUAAUUAUGAUUCUUCGCCGGGACAUAAAGGAAGCUUUUCGUCGCUCUUCGUUAUAUCCAUCCAGCGAGCACUAUAUAUAUGGAGAGUUCACGCAUUUUCUGGAAACACAUUAUGGCCAUGGGUAGUGAUUUGAUUAAUUAUUCGACCAAACGACAUCAUAUUUGGCUAUCCAUCUCAUGUAUUCAUGAGAAACGUUCGUUUGCCAAGAAGAAUUCGUCUCAUGGUCUCAAUUUUCUUAUUUCAUCGGAAAGAGUUCCAAGGUGGGUUUCAAGUGACUCUCAUCAUUUUCACUUAGAUGCUAAUGUAAAAGAAGUGCAAACCUCGGAAUAGGUUUCCUUAGUGACUAAGGAACAAUUAAUGAAGAAAGUGUAGACUUUUUAUCGUUUUGAAUGAGGAUUGGAUUCGAUGAACGACAAAAUCAUUUCUAUUGGAAUAAUUACUUUCUAGCUCCUAAAUAAAGGCAACGAUAACAUCUAUCAACAAUUUAUUUGCAAACAUUUCAUAAAAAUAUAAGUACUAAGUUGAUCAGUGCCCUCUAAUCUUUUCUGCAAUGGAAUAUUGAUGUUUUAAUAUUUUGUUGUAAAUUUCCUAGCAUUUCUGAAUUAGACACUCUUGAGUCAUAAUUAUAUAUUUUUGUUCAUUUUUGACCAUAUAGUGUUUAUAUUUAGUACAUUCAUUAUGAUAUCCAGAUGGUCUUUUUAAAUGUUUUUUUAUAUUAUUAAAAUUUAUUUAUUUUGCA